CGUUCCCGGGCCUUGUACACACCGCCCGUCACGUCAUGAAAGUCGGUAACACCCGAAGCCCAUGGCCCAACCCGCAGGGGGGGAGUGGUCGAAGGUGGGACUGGCGAUUGGGACG
rnacentral:rRNA from 1 species